CGCGGCCUAUCAGCUUGUUGGUGGGGUAACGGUCUACCAAGGCGAUUACGGGUAGCCGGCCUGAGAGGGCGACCGGCCACACUGGGACUGAGACACGGCCCAGACUCCUGCGGGAGGCAGCAGUGGGGAAUAUUGCGCAAUGGGCGAAAGCCUGACGCAGCGACGCCGCGUGGGGGAUGACGGCCUUCGGGUUGUAAACCUCUUUUACCACCAACGCAGGCUCCCGGUUCUCCGGGGGUUGACGGUAGGUGGGGAAUAAGGACCGGCUAACUACGUGCCAGCAGCCGCGGUAAGACGUAGGGCGCGAGCGUUGUCCGGAUUUAUUGGGCGUAAAGGGCUCGUAGGCGGCCCGCUGCGUCUGCUGUGAAAGGCCUCGGCUUAACCGCGGUUUUGCGGUGGAUACGGGCGUGCUUGAGGUAAGUAGGGGAAACUGGAAUUCUUGGUGUAGCGGUGAAAUGCGCAGAUAUGAGGAGGAACACCGGUGGCGAAGGCGGGUUUCUGGGCUUGUUCUGACGCUGAGGAGCGAAAGCGUGGGGAGCGAACAGGAUUAGAUACCCUGGUAGUCCAUGCUGUAAACGUUGGGCGCUAGGUGUGGGGACACUCCACUUGUUUCUGUGCCGUAGCUAACGCAUUAGCGCCCCCGCCUGGGAGGUACGGAAUCUCUAAGGGAUCCCCGG
rnacentral:rRNA from 1 species